rnacentral:rRNA from 1 species
UGGGGAAUUUUGGACAAUGGGGGAAACCCUGAUCCAGCCAUCCCGCGUGUGCGAUGAAGGCCUUCGGGUUGUAAAGCACUUUUGGCAGGAAAGAAACGUCAUGGGUUAAUACCCCGUGAAACUGACGGUACCUGCAGAAUAAGCACCGGCUAACUACGUGCCAGCAGCCGCGGUAAUACGUAGGGUGCAAGCGUUAAUCGGAAUUACUGGGCGUAAAGCGUGCGCAGGCGGUUCGGAAAGAAAGAUGUGAAAUCCCAGAGCUCAACUUUGGAACUGCAUUUUUAACUGCCGGGCUAGAGUGUGUCAGAGGGAGGUGGAAUUCCGCGUGUAGCAGUGAAAUGCGUAGAUAUGCGGAGGAACACCGAUGGCGAAGGCAGCCUCCUGGGAUAACACUGACGCUCAUGCACGAAGGCGUGGGGAGCAAACAGG